rnacentral:piRNA from 1 species
UAGAAGCUGAUGGAAAUGAGACGCUGUGA